GCCUCAUGCCUGAAAGGGCAACGGCGUCGAGCCGGAGCGAGAAGUCAGCAGAGGUCGAAGUAGUUGGGGGUAGCGCCGGCAAGGCUCGAAUCCUCCGACGAAGGAC
rnacentral:ncRNA from 1 species